GAUGAACGCUGGCGGCGUGCCUAAUACAUGCAAGUCGAGCGAACGGACGAGAAGCUUGCUUCUCUGAUGUUAGCGGCGGACGGGGGAGUAACACGUGGAUAACCUACCUAUAAGACUGGGAUAACUUCGGGAAACCGGAGCUAAUACCGGAUAAUAUUUUGAACCGCAUGGUUCAAAAGUGAAAGACGGUCUUGCUGUCACUUAUAGAUGGAUCCGCGCUGCAUUAGCUAGUUGGUAAGGUAACGGCUUACCAAGGCAACGAUGCAUAGCCGACCUGAGAGGGUGAUCGGCCACACUGGAACUGCGCCACGGUCCAGACUCCUACGGGAGGCAGCAGUAGGGAAUCUUCCGCAAUGGGCGAAAGCCUGACGGAGCAACGCCGCGUGAGUGAUGAAGGUCUUCGGAUCGUAAAACUCUGUUAUUAGGGAAGAACAUAUGUGUAAGUAACUGUGCACAUCUUGACGGUACCUAAUCAGAAAGCCACGGCUAACUACGUG
rnacentral:rRNA from 1 species